AAUCCCCCAUACCAUUAAUAUGUGGCAUCUUAUAUUAAUGAAAUCUUCGGAGGUAUCAGAUGGGCAUGCGUCCUAUUAGCUAGUUGGCGGGGUAACGGCCCACCAAGGCGAUGAUAGGUAGGGGUUCUGAGAGGAAGGUCCCCCACAUUGGAACUGAGACACGGUCCAAACUCCUACGGGAGGCAGCAGUGAGGAAUAUUGGUCAAUGGCCGGAAGGCUGAACCAGCCAAGUCGCGUGAGGGACGACUGCCCUAUGGGUUGUAAACCUCUUUUAUAAGGGAAGAAUAAAUGCUACGUGUAGCAUGAUGCCUGUACCUUAUGAAUAAGCAUCGGCUAACUCCGUGCCAGCAGCCGCGGUAAUACGGAGGAUGCGAGCGUUAUCCGGAUUUAUUGGGUUUAAAGGGUGCGUAGGCGGUUUUUUAAGUUAGUGGUUAAACGUCGGGGCUUCACCUUGAUUUGCCAUUAAUACUGUAAGACUCGAGUUCAGACGAGGUAGGCGGAAUAAGUUAAGUAGCGGUGAAAUGCUUAGAUAUAACUUAGAACUCCGAUAGCGAAGGCAGCUUACCAGACUGCGACUGACGCUGAAGCACGAGAGCGUGGGUAGCGAACAGGAUUAGAUACCCUGGUAGUCCACGCCGUAAACGAUGCUCACUGGUUCUGUGCGACAUACCGUACGGGAUUAAGC
rnacentral:rRNA from 1 species